rnacentral:rRNA from 1 species
UACGUAGGGGGCUAGCGUUGUCCGGAUUUACUGGGCGUAAAGAGCGCGUAGGCGGAGAUCUAAGCGUGGCCUGAAAGCCCCCGGCUCAACCGGGGAGUGCGGCUGCGAACUGGGUUUCUUGAGGACGAUAGAGGAGAGUGGAAUUCCUGGUGUAGCGGUGAAAUGCGUAGAUAUCAGGAGGAACACCCGAGGCGAAGGCGGCUCUCUGGGUCGUACCUGACGCUGAGGCGCGAAAGCGUGGGGAGCGAACGGG